AGCACCACUGUCCGAGGUUUACAGAGUGUUUGAUCCACUGGGAGGAGAUCCUACAAAAGAUCAAACUGGAAUAAAGGACACACUUUACAACCCAUAAGAUGUGACAAUUAGCAAACUGAAGUUCAAAGAAUUGGAUAACCUAGCCCAAGAUCAGACCUUUGGAGAAUGAAAGAAUCUGGAUUUGCACCCGGAACUUACUGGCUUCCACCUCUAAACACCAGCUUCCCUGUUCCAACUUUUCUAAAGUUGAAUGUUCUUCAUACAAAUAUCAGCAGGAAGACAUUGAGGCACAAAAUAAAUGGGGUAUUGUAUGAGAAUGCCUAGCUUUCAAUGAGCUUAUGUCUCCAAGCUUGGACAAAUUCCGGCUGGGGUACCAACAGAAUUUAUAUAUGAGAAGACUGUUGGCAGCUUUUCAGGGACUGUGGGGCCGGGGAGAGACGCCAGAAGACUGUGGCUGGGUACACACUAUUCCAUUUUGUGAAAAGGGGAAGAAGGUUGAUUCUGCAAACCAUAGAUGCCAGAGUCCUGGGCAAAGUUCUUGAAGGGCAUCCUAUAAACAUAAAAAAAGGGAAGUCAUUGCUAGGCACCAACAAGUUUUCAUUGAGAAGAGAUUAUUCCAAAUGAACCUAACUUCCAUUUCUCAUAAGGUGAAAAAUUGGUAUGGCUUUAUUUAGACAAUACAUUUUGCUCAUUUUCA
rnacentral:lncRNA from 1 species